rnacentral:rRNA from 1 species
GGCUCAGGAUGAACGCUGGCGGUAUGCUUAACACAUGCAAGUCGAACGGAGUACUUCGGUACUUAGUGGCGGACGGGUGAGUAACGCGUGAGAAUCUGCCUUCAGGUCGGGGACAACAGUUGGAAACGACUGCUAAUACCGGAUGAGCCGAAAGGUGAAAGGUUUACUGCCUGAAGAUGAGCUCGCGUCUGAUUAGCUAGUAGGUGUGGUAAGAGCGCACCUAGGCGACGAUCAGUAGCUGGUCUGAGAGGAUGAUCAGCCACACUGGGACUGAGACACGGCCCAGACUCCUACGGGAGGCAGCAGUGGGGAAUUUUCCGCAAUGGGCGAAAGCCUGACGGAGCAAUACCGCGUGAGGGAGGAAGGCUCUUGGGUUGUAAACCUCUUUUCUUAGGGAAUAAGUUCUGAAGGUACCUAAGGAAUAAGCAUCGGCUAACUCCGUGCCAGCAGCCGCGGUAAUACGGAGGAUGCAAGCGUUAUCCGGAAUGAUUGGGCGUAAAGAGUCCGUAGGUGGUUUCACAAGUCUGCUGUCAAAGAAUGAGGCUCAACCUCAUCAAGGCGGUGGAAACUGAGAGACUAGAGUGCGUUCGGGGCAGAAGGAAUUCCUGGUGUAGCGGUGAAAUGCGUAGAUAUCAGGAAGAACACCGGUGGCGAAAGCGUUCUGCUAGGCCGCAACUGACACUGAGGGACGAAAGCUAGGGGAGCGAAUGGGAUUAGAUACCCCAGUAGUCCUAGCCGUAAACGAUGGAUACUAGGCGUGGCUUGUAUCGACCCGAGCCGUGCCGGAGCUAACGCGUUAAGUAUCCCGCCUGGGGAGUACGCACGCAAGUGUGAAAC